rnacentral:misc_RNA from 1 species
UCUCUUUUUUUGAGUAAAUAGCUUCUAUUUGCUUUCUAAUUCUAUCUUCUUUUUUACUUUUUUCCCUUUAGAGUCUCGUAGCUCAGCUGGUUAGAGCGCUACACUGAUAAUGUAGAGGUCGGCAGUUCGAGUCUGCCCGAGACUACAUAAUUAAAGGGGGGAUUAGCUCAGCUGGUUAGAGCGCCGCGUUUGCAACGCGGAGGUCAUCGGUUCGACUCCGAUAUUCUCCACUAAAAAGUUCUUUGACAUAUUGUAAUGAAUAUAUAUAUACUUAAUAUUUAAAAGUUAUUAAGGGCGUAUGGCGGAUGCCUUGGCUCUCAUUGGCGAUGAAGGACGUGACAAGCUGCGAUAAGUUUCGAUUAGGUGCAAAUAACCUUUGAAUCGAAGAUUUCCGAAUGGGG